AAAAUUUGUUAUUAAUUUGAUUUAUAUGUAAAUUUUUGUAUGAAUUUGUAUUAAUUUUAAAAAUUAAUAUAAUAAUUAUAUUCGCAGUAAUUAAUUUUAUUAAUUAAAGAAAUUUAGAAAUAGCAAUAUUAAAAAGUAUAGAUUAAAUUGGUGCCAGCAGUCGCGGUUAUACCAAUUAUACAAAUAAAUUUUUUUAGUAAAAGUUAAAUUGAAAUUUAUAUUAAAUAAAAUUAAAUUUAUUAAGUGAAAUUUUAAAUUUAAAUUUUUUAUAAAUUAAAUUAAUUGAAGCUUAAAAAUUUUAAUAAA
rnacentral:rRNA from 1 species